rnacentral:rRNA from 1 species
AGCGGACGCUGGCGGCAGGCCUAACACAUGCAAGUCGAACGGAUCCUUCGGGAUUAGUGGCGGACGGGUGAGUAACACGUGGGAACGUGCCCUUUGGUUCGGAACAACUCAGGGAAACUUGAGCUAAUACCGGAUGUGCCCUUCGGGGGAAAGAUUUAUCGCCAUUGGAGCGGCCCGCGUCUGAUUAGCUAGUUGGUGAGGUAAAGGCUCACCAAGGCGACGAUCAGUAGCUGGUCUGAGAGGAUGAUCAGCCACAUUGGGACUGAGACACGGCCCAAACUCCUACGGGAGGCAGCAGUGGGGAAUCUUGCGCAAGGGGCGAAAGCCUGACGCAGCCAUGCCGCGUGAAUGAUGAAGGUCUUAGGAUUGUAAAAUUCUUUCACCGGGGACGAUAAUGACGGUACCCGGAGAAGAAGCCCCGGCUAACUUCGUGCCAGCCGCCGCCGUAACAC